rnacentral:misc_RNA from 1 species
GAUGAAGAACGCAGCGAAAUGCGAUAAGUAGUGUGAAUUGCAGAAGUACCGUGAAUCAUCGAAUCUUUGAACGCAAAUUGCACUCUCUGGUAUUCCGGGGAGUAUGCCUGUUUGAGGGUCGCUUAACAAACCAUCGAUUUCGUUGCUUUUUUUUUUUAAAGUGAUGUUUAUCGGAUUUGAGCCGUCUUUUUUUUUAUAUUUAAGUGGCUUAAAAUUGAUUUUUUUGGUACGAUCGAAGCGUAUUUUUAUGAUCAAUUUUUGGUUAAAGAAACGCACACGUACCGUUAUUUAUAUGAUGUAAUACGUUUGACUAUUGGAUUUAGUUCAUUCGUAUACGAUAUCUUUCAAUAUUUGACCUCAAAUCAGGUAAGAACACCCGCUGAACUUAAGCAUAUCAAUAAGCGG